GGAAUCUGCCUGGUAGUGGGGGAUAACGUUCGGAAACGGACGCUAAUACCGCAUACGUCCUACGGGAGAAAGCAGGGGACCUUCGGGCCUUGCGCUAUCAGAUGAGCCUAGGUCGGAUUAGCUAGUUGGUGAGGUAAUGGCUCACCAAGGCGACGAUCCGUAACUGGUCUGAGAGGAUGAUCAGUCACACUGGAACUGAGACACGGUCCAGACUCCUACGGGAGGCAGCAGUGGGGAAUAUUGGACAAUGGGCGAAAGCCUGAUCCAGCCAUGCCGCGUGUGUGAAGAAGGUCUUCGGAUUGUAAAGCACUUUAAGUUGGGAGGAAGGGCAGUUACCUAAUACGUGAUUGUUUUGACGUUACCGACAGAAUAAGCACCGGCUAACUCUGUGCCAGCAGCCGCGGUAAUACAGAGGGUGCAAGCGUUAAUCGGAAUUACUGGGCGUAAAGCGCGCGUAGGUGGUUAGUUAAGUUGGAUGUGAAAUCCCCGGGCUCAACCUGGGAACUGCAUUCAAAACUAACUGACUAGAGUAUGGUAGAGGGUGGUGGAAUUUCCUGUGUAGCGGUGAAAUGCGUAGAUAUAGGAAGGAACACCAGUGGCGAAGGCGACCA
rnacentral:rRNA from 1 species